GACGAACGCUGGCGGCGUGCUUAACACAUGCAAAUCGAACGGAAAGGCCCUGCUUUUGUGGGGUGCUCGAGUGGCGAACGGGUAAGUAACACGUGAGUAACCUGCCCUUGACUUUGGGAUAACUUCAGGAAACUGGGGCUAAUACCGGAUAGGAGCUCCUGCUGCAUGGUGGGGGUUGGAAAGUUUCGGCGGUUGGGGAUGGACUCGCGGCUUAUCAGCUUGUUGGUGGGGUAGUGGCUUACCAAGGCUUUGACGGGUAGCCGGCCUGAGAGGGUGACCGGCCACAUUGGGACUGAGAUACGGCCCAGACUCCUACGGGAGGCAGCAGUGGGGAAUAUUGCACAAUGGGCGGAAGCCUGAUGCAGCAACGCCGCGUGCGGGAUGACGGCCUUCGGGUUGUAAACCGCUUUCGCCUGUGACGAAGCGUGAGUGACGGUAAUGGGUAAAGAAGCACCGGCUAACUACGUG
rnacentral:rRNA from 1 species